rnacentral:rRNA from 1 species
CCUACGGGAGGCUGCAGUGGGGAAUAUUGCACAAUGGGCGCAAGCCUGAUGCAGCCAUGCCGCGUGUGUGAAGAAGGCCUUCGGGUUGUAAAGCACUUUCAGCGGGGAGGAAGGCGUUAAGGUUAAUAACCUUGUCGAUUGACGUUACCCGCAGAAGAAGCACCGGCUAACUCCGUGCCAGCAGCCGCGGUAAUACGGAGGGUGCAAGCGUUAAUCGGAAUUACUGGGCGUAAAGCGCACGCAGGCGGUCUGUCAAGUCGGAUGUGAAAUCCCCGGGCUCAACCUGGGAACUGCAUUCGAAACUGGCAUGCUAGAGUCUUGUAGAGGGGGGUAGAAUUCCAGGUGUAGCGGUGAAAUGCGUAGAGAUCUGGAGGAAUACCGGUGGCGAAGGCGGCCCCCUGGACAAAGACUGACGCUCAGGUGCGAAAGCGUGGGGAGCAAACAGGAUUAGAUACCCCGGUAGUC